AUUGAACGCUGGCGGCAUGCUUUACACAUGCAAGUCGAGCGGUAACAGGCCUUCGGGUGCUGACGAGUGGCGAACGGGUGAGUAAUGCAUCGGGACGUACCCAGAGGUGGGGGAUAACGCAGCGAAAGCUGUGCUAAUACCGCAUGUGAUCUGAGGAUGAAAGCGGGGGACCGAGCAGCAAUGUUUGGCCUCGCGCCUUUGGAGCGGCCGAUGUCGGAUUAGCUAGUUGGUGGGGUAAAGGCCUACCAAGGCGACGAUCCGUAGCUGGUCUGAGAGGACGACCAGCCACACUGGGACUGAGACACGGCCCAGACUCCUACGGGAGGCAGCAGUGGGGAAUUUUGGACAAUGGGCGCAAGCCUGAUCCAGCAAUGCCGCGUGCGGGAAGAAGGCCUUCGGGUUGUAAACCGCUUUUGGCAGGAACGAAACGGUGUCCGCUAAUACCGGGCGCUAAUGACGGUACCUGCAGAAUAAGCACCGGCUAACUACGUG
rnacentral:rRNA from 1 species